rnacentral:rRNA from 1 species
AGUGAACGCUGGCGGUAGGCCUAACACAUGCAAGUCGAACGGACGCACAGUAAGAGCUUGCUCUUAAGGGUGGCGAGUGACGGACGGGUGAGGCAUAGAUCGGAAUCUACUUUUUCGUGGGGGAUAACGUAGGGAAACUUCUGAUAAUACAGCAUAUGUCCUACGGGUGAAAGCAGGAGAUAUUCGCACCUUGCGCGACUGAAUGAGACGGUGUCGGAUUAGCUAGUUGGCGGGGUAAAGGCCCACCAAGGCGACGAUGCGUAGCUGAUCUGAGAGGAUGAUCAGCCACACUGGAACUGAGACACGGUCCAGACUCCUACGGGAGGCAGCAGUGGGGAAUAUUGGACAAUGGGCGCAAGCCUGAUCCAGCCAUACCGCGUGAGUGAAGAAGGCCUUCGGGUUGUAAAGCCCUUUUGUUGGGAAAGAAAAACAGCAGGUGAAUACCCCGCUGUUCUGACGGUACCCAAAGAAUAAGCACCGGCUAACUUCGUG